rnacentral:rRNA from 1 species
GACGAACGCUGGCGGCGUGCUUAACACAUGCCAGUCGAACGGAAAGGCCCUGCUUUUGUGGGGUGCUCGAGUGGCGAAAGGGUGAGUAACACGUGAGUAACCUGCCCUUGACUUUGGGAUAACUUCAGGAAACUGGGGCUAAUACCGGAUAGGAGCUCCUGCUGCAUGGUGGGGGUUGGAAAGUUUCGGCGGUUGGGGAUGGACUCGCGGCUUAUCGGCUUGUUGGUGGGGUAGUGGCUUACCAAGGUUUUGACGGGUAGCCGGCCUGGGAGGGUGACCGGCCACAUUGCGACUGCGAUACGGCCCAGUCUCCUACGGGAGGCAGCAGUGGGGAGUAUUGCACAGUGGGCGGAAGCGUGAUGCAGCAACGCCGCGUGCGGGAUGACGGCCUUCGGGUUGUAAACCGCUUUCGCCUGUGACGAAGCGUGAGUGACGGUAAUGGGUAAAGAAGCACCGGCUAACUACGUG